CAUAUAUGACGUUACUGGACUCUAACCAUCUCUGUACUUCUCUGUCAUUUUGAGUCAUUUUACAUUCCACAACCUCUGGCCAUUUCUUGCUUUUCUUUCUCAACUUCUAAGUUAGGCUUCUUUACAUGUAUGUUUUAAUGACAAAAUCUGUCCAACGAUCUACUAUUCAUCUGUCUGUCUGUUAUUAUUUUAAUUAUGUAUGAUUGAUAAUAUAUGAUUAUUAUGAAUGCAGCAUCCUUGGAGAAAGGGUAUCUAACUUUAUUCAUUGAAUGGUAUACUUAUUUCUGAUGUCAGAAAUAUAAUAAAAAUAGAGUUGAGUGUUUUAAAAAAAUUUCCCCAAAACCACCAGUAUGUUGCAACUUAAUUAACAUUCUCAAAAAUAUGAUGUAAUUUUGUGAAAACAUGACUUCAUAAGAUCAAAAUUGGAAAUAAAGGGUAUUUAAGUUCAUUGCUGAACCAGAGCAGUUUUAACAAACACUUAGACUUUCGUUAAUCUGCGACAAACUCGGAUUUGAUGAAGGUUGGGUCUACUCAUGGUUAACUGUCCAGUGAUUGGCUAAUCGAUAUGAAUACAUUAAAUGCAAUGACACUUGUUUGACUAUAUCUAGGGAUGUAUUUGAAACAGCAUCAAUUUCACACAACAGAGCAGCAGAGUUCUUGAAAUCUUUCGGUUCUGUCAGCAAGACCUAUAAAAAUAAACAAGGACUGAUGACUUGAGAUUGCCUGUCAGUCCAAAUAAACAAAACAAC